GCUAGAACAUCCCCAAUGAGUGGUUGUCCAGUCCCUGCUUAAAGAACUCCAGAAAAGGAAAACCCACCACCUCCACAGGAAGGAAGACAGGCGGCUCAGUCUGGAAGCAGCUCUUGAGAAGAGAAGGCUCAGACUAGGGGAACUUUUUUACCUGGAGCUUUGUGACCAGAAAUUUGCUAACAGAUAUCAAAGGAGUUUUGUGUAGUAUUUCGUGGGGAAGUGUGUGUGGAGGUACACAAGUAGUCCCCCUUUAUCACAAAGGAGACACCCAGCACAAGGAGAAGGUCUGGAAAAUUAAUAAGGAAUGGAAAAUGAAGGCUCGUCCUGUUUUAACGCCAGAAAAUAAUGCUGGAGGGGGACAGGUUAGGAGGAGAACUGCCUUGGUCAUAAUAUGAUUUUACAAAAUGUCAGUGUGCAGCUUUGAGAAAAUUGGUGUGUGUGUGUGUGCAUGCACAUACAUGCUGUGGGUGGCAUGAUCUAGCAUUAAGACAAUUGUUUUGCUGAAUCAGAGCAAAGGUUCAUCUAGUCCUGCAUCUUUCCCAACAAUAGCCAACCAGAUGCAUCAACAGCCUGUUGUUUGUUCUCAGCAUCUGCCAUUCAGAGGUAUACUGCCUCUUAACUUGGGGGUUCUACUUAGCAAUCCUGGCUAAUAACCUUUGAGAGAUGAGUCUUCCAAGUGGGGUAACUUGUGAACUGCCUAAAUGAUUUGAACCAAAUUUGCUACAGCUUUACAUAGGGACACCUCAGUGGCAUAGUUUGUGAUGAUGUCAUCCAUCCUGAUUCAAGAUGAUGGCCGCACAAAUAUUGGAGGUGCAAGUUUUGAAUCGCCUUACCGAUUUGAACCAAAUUUGCCACA